rnacentral:rRNA from 1 species
GAACGAACGCUGGCGGCAUGCUUAACACAUGCAAGUCGAACGAGACCUUCGGGUCUAGUGGCGCACGGGUGCGUAACGCGUGGGAAUCUGCCCUUUGCUACGGAAUAACUCAGAGAAAUUUGUGCUAAUACCGUAUAAUGUCGUAAGACCAAAGAUUUAUCGGCAAAGGAUGAGCCCGCGUAAGAUUAGCUUGUUGGUGAGGUAAGGGCUCACCAAGGCGACGAUCUUUAGCUGGUCUGAGAGGAUGAUCAGCCACACUGGGACUGAAACACGGUCCAUACACCUACGGGUGGCAGCAGUAGGGAAUAUUAGUAAUGGGCGAAAGCCUGAACUAGCAACGCCGCGUGUGCGAAGAAGGCCUUCGGGUCGUAAAGCACUUUUUGAGAGGAUGAGGAAGGACGGUACUCUCAGAAUAAGUCUCGGCUAACUACGUGCCAGCAGCCGCGGUAACACGUAGGAGGCAAACGUUAUCCGGAUUUACUGGGCGUAAAGCGCGUGUAGGUGGUUUGGUAAGUAGGGCGUGAAAGCUCCUGGCUCAACUGGGAGAGGACGUUCUAAACUGCCAAGCUUGAGGAUGGUAGAGGGAGGUGGAAUUCCGGGUGUAGCGGUGGAAUGCGCAGAUAUCCGGAGGAACACCAGUGGCGAAGGCGGCCUCCUGGACCACUCCUGACACUCAGACGCGAAAGCUAGGGUAGCAAACGGGAUUAGAGACCCCGGUAGUCCUAGCCCUAAACGAUGUAGACUUGGCGUCGGUGGUUUAAUCGCCAUCGGUGUCGUAGCUAACGCGAUAAGUCUACCGCCUGGGGACUACGGCCGCAAGGUUAAAACUCAAAGGAAUUGACGGGUCCCCGCACAAGCAGCGGAGCGUGUGGUUUAAUUCGAUGCUACACGAAGAACCUUACCUGGGUUUGACAUAGAGGUAGUAGGGAAGCGAAAGCGGACCGACCCUUCGGGGAGCCUCUACAGGUGUUGCAUGGCUGUCGUCAGCUCGUGUCGUGAGAUGUUCGGUUAAGUCCGCUAACGAGCGCAACCCUCGCUGUGUGUUACAAGUGUCACACGGUACUGCCGAUAUUAAGUCGGAGGAAGGUGGGGAUGACGUCAAGUCAGCAUGACCUUUAUAUCCAGGGCUACACACACGCUACAAUGGCCAGUACAAUGGGUUGCCAAGCCGCGAGGCGGAGCCAAUCCUAAAAAGCUGGCCUCAGUUCAGAUUGCAGUCUGCAACUCGACUGCAUGAAGUUGGAGUUGCUAGUAACCGCAGGUCAGCAAUACUGCGGUGAAUACGUUCCCGGGGAU